rnacentral:tRNA from 18 species
GCUGGUGUAGCUCAGUUGGCUAGAGCAGCUGAUUUGUAAUCAGCAGGUCGGGGGUUCAACUCCCUUCACCAGCUCCA